UGGCAACCCGCUCCGGUGUCCUUCCAUGCUGUGGAGGCUCUGUUGUUUCGCUCUUUCUACUGCUUACUCUUCGGGUCCACACUGCUUUUAUGAGCUGUAACACUCACCCUGAAGGUUUGCAACUUGACUCCUGAAGCCAGCAAGACCACGAGCCCCAGGGAGGAACGAACAACUCCAGACGCGCUGCCUUAAGAGCUGUAACACUCACCGAGAAGGUCUGCAGCUUCACUCCUGAGCCAGCGAGGCCACGAACCCACCAGAAGGAAGAAACUCUGAACACAUCCGAACAUCAGAAGGAACAAACUCCAGACGUGCCACCUUAAGAGCUGUUAACACUCACCGCGAGGGUCCGCGGCUUCAUUUUUGAAGUCAGUGAGACCAAGAACCAACCAAUUCGGGACACAAUACCAACUCUUUCAUGCCAGGAGAAGCCUCCUUAAAAAAUUUCGGUGAUUAACAGCAGCACAUGGGUCAAAAUCUCCUGAAAGUUGAGCAGGGGAGCUGUAGAAGAAUUCCUCCUUUUCUCGCAGAUGAAAUCUUAUGAUAUAGCAGGGGUUACCUGGCCAAGAAGGAACACAGAGGAGAACAAAGAAAAUUCAAGGAACUAAAUUCCUUCUCCACCUCAACCACCAGCAUUGAUACUCCAUCACUUAUGUACUGCAUCAAGCCGUCCUCAGAGGUGAGGAAGGUGCUGUCAAGACUAGAAGCAUGUGUCCCUCUCUCCAUUGCAAGAUGGGACAUAGAGAGGAGAAAAGUGGCAGACAGAAGGCUAAUCUCAACUGGAAACCAGAAGGCUAGAAAUCUUACUGAUGUGAUGUCCAGGGAUACAGAGCAUAUGAAGGAUGCAGAGAGUGGGUCAAAUGGAAGGAAUGUAGCAAAACAUGUAAACUUGAGUAAGUAUUUGAUCUCUUUGAGCCUAUGUUUUUCAAUAUUUGGAUUCCAACAGCCAGCUCAGUGCUGACAGAGUCAGCAAGUUCUUGUUGAGUGGGAUUGUGUCCAUAAAAUAAUGUAUAUAAAAUAGACAAGCUCUAUAGCUCCUUUCAAUUAUGACCUUCUCUGAUUACUAUUUUGUUGAUUGUCCUCAAAUAUUAUUAAAUAAUCAUGCCCUGACCAUAAUAAAGAAGACUUCAUCAUUGCUGAGGAUGAAUUUCACACCCCAGUCUUUAACUCUAUGCUCUGCUAUCUCUUCCAUCUAAAAAUACAAAAACUGAUUGUUCAGGUGUUACACAAUGAGAUGUCUAAAGAGAAGAAAGACUAAAAUAUUUAGGUAAGGACAUGGAUGCAGGAUAGUAGGGGAGAAAAAUCGCUUUGAUUGUAAACUUGGGCACAUUGAGGAUAUUUGAAGGUCAUAAAAGUUUAACCUGUAAUAUACCAUAAAAAGGAGAGAUGGGAAUAACUUCUGGAAAUAUUCCUUUAAUUUUUCAGUUCUUUAUUUCAGUAAAUUUUUUGUGUACUGCUCUUGGUACUCAAAAUGGUACUCACAGUAGAUGCUCACAACUGUUUAUUAAAUUGAAAAUUACUGCAAAUAUUUUAACAGAAACACAUGAUUUUGCAUUUACCUAUAUAAUUUGAAAAAAUUUGCUACUUAUUUUCCCUCAAGGUUUAACUUAGACAUUUUCAAUAUCUCUCUUAAUAAAAGAUUGUAUUUUUCUAGCAAUAA
ensembl:lncRNA LINC02432 long intergenic non-protein coding RNA 2432